GAUUCUGCUGGGCUGAACAUGGUAGGCAGCUGUCUAGUGGACUCCUGCUUCAAGAUGGAUGAUCUGAUCGUUGUGUGCAGUAAAUUCAUCUGAAUGCUGAAGGAGCAUGGGAACUGCCCGAGCGAUUGUUGAGACAUGCUGAUGCUGGGAAAAAGAAUGAUGCUGACUGUGUAUGAGCUUGCCAAAUCCCCUGACAAUGGUGAUAGGGAAGCUAUAUUAGACGUAUGUCCCUGACCCACCUUUACCUGCCCAUAUCCAUGACUGGACAACCUGCCUCAAGCUUUCAGACCUUUUGGACAGAGAACAUGAGACUGUAGAAACUGCCUUCAAAAAGUUAAUCGAAUAGAGAAGUUAUAAUGACCCCCUCUCUUUCCUUUAAUGUGACCAGUUAUUCUGACUCA
rnacentral:lncRNA from 1 species